rnacentral:rRNA from 1 species
AACGUAGGAGACAAACGUUAUCCGGAGUUACUGGGCGUAAAGGGCGUGUAGGUGGUUUCGUAAGUCUGGCGUGAAAUUUCUCGGCUUAACCGAGGCAGGUCGUCGGAUACUGCGGAACUAGAGGACGGUAGAGGCGUGUGGAAUUCCGGGUGUAGUGGUGAAAUGCGUAGAGAUCCGGAAGAACACCGGUGGCGAAGGCGGCCUGCUGGGCAGUAGCUGACACUGAGGCGCGACAGCGUGGGGAGCAAACAGG